UGUGGUUUAGUGUUUCCUGGUUCGUUUUUGGGGAUUUACCUCUGUUGCCCGGCCUGUUUUUGGACUGCAUCUAAAGUUUGUAUUUCGUCAUUAAAUCACUGAACACCACCUGCUGCCUCCUCAGACGACGUCAGACAGAGAAGAAGUGACACGAGAGGGUGGAGCUAAGUACAAUCGAACGCUGAAGACAUUUUUAGGUGACCAAAUGUUACAAUUAAAGCAGCAGAGGACGUAUGGCUUCUCAACCAGCACAGUAAGCACACAGCUGACCCCCAGCGUGAGCAACAGGUUGCCAAAGAACAGGCCAGUAUGAUCCAGGUCACAGCCAGAGUCCAGAGCGGCCUGUGCAGUGCCUGGUAGAGGGCAUGUGCCACAGAUGGAUAGGCUGGGGUCUCCUUGAGGACGUAGGCCAAUGCAACCAACACAGCCAAGAAUAACAGACAGCAGAACCAGCCAAGUGCUGCCUGCCACUGGAACGACAGCAAGACACGAUAAGCACAUGACUAUCCAGCAAAAGAAUAAGCUGUGUGUAGUGAUUCUGACCUUUUUCUUUACCAGCUGAUCCUUCUUUGUUUUCAAAUAUAUUCCAGUCAAGAUCCCUAUUAAAAACGGCCCAUAUCUGGUGUAUGGUUUCACAUAGUAAUGCAAGGCAUAAUUAUCAGAUGUCCUGCAAAAAAUAAGCAAGCAAAUUAAACAUUUUUUAAUUGUAAAGAAACGAUGCUGGUUAGCGUUUACUCUCUUUGACAUUGGAUUUCACAGUAAGGUAAAAAAAUAUA